AGGUUGAAUUUAUCAAGUACUUGUGUAUCUGUUGUUCUUUGUUGUGAUUAACUUCAUCAAUCUUAUGAUAUGAUCUAUGGUUUUCAGUUGAUGCUAAAAACAAGAACGCUCCUUCUGAGACAAAGCCCCUGAUAGUACACAAGCUUUCACACCACUUCUCUUUGGCCUCUUUUUUUGUGCUGUUGAUAAUACUGUGAGCAUGCGGUUUAUGAAAACUGGGAAACACGUACGAAUCUGAGUGGACUACUCAACUGCUACCUGGUUAAACACGUAAGUUUAUUUCCAUGUAAUGUCUGAUAAAACAUCAAACCAGUUGUGGCUGUUACCUGAACGAAGGGAGCUAGGAUAUAGAGCAUACUUGGUUUGGUUAUCUGAAUAUGAAUGGCGGUGGGCUUCACACUUCAACCACUUCAGUUAAAACUCCAGUUUUUAAAAAUUGUAUUUGGUCAACCUAUGCGCAUGGAGAGAAUGAUCCAGGAAGCUACAUUAUUCUAUGAGACCAUUGUCUAUACGUACAUACGCAUAUGGUGAAGAUUAAAGGGUUUAGCUUGGAUUCACGUGUCUGUUCAUUGGUUAAAGAAGCUGGUUCAUUGGUUAAUGAAGUUAAAUGGAAUACUUUCGGUAGUAGUUUUGCUGUCUUAGACUCGGGUUUAGGCUCUGAGAUGGGUGAUCCUUCUCAAAGGACUCUAGGAGGAAAAGCAGUAAAACCAACUCAAAACUCAAUCUCUACCAUAAGUUCAAUUUCUUCUUAAUUAUUCAAGGACUGUUUAUAACUUGAGGC